GAAUUGUCUAAUAUGGAAAGAAUGAAAGACAGCUAAUAAGCAACUCUCUGCAAGAAGACAUAUGGCUUAGGUUCUGCUGAGCUAUUGAAUCUACUUGGAGAGAGUCAAACACAGAAUCCCUUUGAAUUUAAUGGCCAUUCCAGGUGAUUUGAACAGCCAAAUAAGAAACAGGUCCUCUUCAAUGUACAAUCUGCCAAGUAUGAAGUCUGAAUGACCAUCAUUAUUAUGUAUUUAAUGUGCAUAGAAAAUCUAUCUGCAACCUUCCAGAGUGUACCAGAAGUUUGGAAUGUACAUUAUUAUUGGCUCCAUCUCAAACCACUCAUAAAUCAAAGAAAAUAGCAGUUCCAGAGGAAUCAUCAUAGAGGCUUCUAGGCCCCCAUGCUGUGUGAACCUGGUGAGAAAGGGAAGUCUGCUCUCACUGGACACUGGAACUGUUUGUCUCUGUCUCUGCUGUACUUUCCCUGCCUCUACCUCACU
rnacentral:lncRNA from 1 species